rnacentral:rRNA from 1 species
AUUGAACGCUGGCGGCAUGCCUUACACAUGCAAGCCGAACGGCAGCACGGGAGCUUGCUCCUGGUGGCGAGUGGCGAACGGGUGCGUAAAGCAUCGGAACGUGCCCUGAAGUGGGGGAUAACGUAGCGACAGUUACGCUAAUACCGCAUAUUCUGUGAGCAGGAAAGCAGGGGCUCGCAAGAUCUUGUGCUUUAGGAGCGGCCGAUGCCGGAUUAGCUAGUUGGUGGGGUAAAGGCCUACCAAGGCGACGAUCCGUAGCGGGUCUGAGAGGAUGAUCCGCCACACUGGGACUGAGACACGGCCCAGACUCCUACGGGAGGCAGCAGGGGGGAAUUUUGGACAAUGGGCGCAAGCCUGAUCCAGCCAUGCCGCGUGAGUGAAGAAGGCCUUCGGGUUGUAAAGCUCUUUCGGUGGGGAAGAAAUUGCACUCUCUAAUACAGGGUGUAGAUGACGGUACCCGCAUAAGAAGCACCGACUAACUACGUGCCAGCCGCCGCGGUAAGAC